rnacentral:snoRNA from 1 species
UGGCCAGUAGUGGAUGCAUUUUAUGUAGUUUCUCAUUUGCUGUAGACAUGACCAUAAAAAAUUUUCCCACUAGGUUUUCUAAAUGCUACCUUGUUAGCCAGCAAUGAAUCUAUUGGGAAUAGAC